GACGAACGCUGGCGGCGUGCUUAACACAUGCAAGUCGAACGGAAAGGCCCUGCUUUUGUGGGGUGCUCGAGUGGCGAACGGGUGAGUAACACGUGAGUAACCUGCCCUUGACUUUGGGAUAACUUCAGGAAACUGGGGCUAAUACCGGAUAGGAGCUCCUGCUGCAUGGUGGGGGUUGGAAAGUUUCGGCGGUUGGGGAUGGACUCGCGGCUUAUCAGCUUGUUGGUGGGGUAGUGGCUUACCAAGGCUUUGACGGGUAGCCGGCCUGAGAGGGUGACAGGCCACAUGGGGACUGAGAUACGGCCCAGACUCAUACGGGAGGCAGCAGUGGGGAAUAUUGCACAAUGCGCGGAAGCCUGAUGCAGCAACGCCGCGUGCGGGAUGACGGCCUUCGGGUUGUAAACCGCUUUCGCCUGUGACGAAGCGUGAGUGACGGUAAUGGGUAAAGAAGCACCGGCUAACUACGU
rnacentral:rRNA from 1 species